ACAAAAAUUGUUGCGAUAUAGCAUAUGAUUUGUCAUUUGAACGACAUAAAAACUCAAUGUUGACGAUUUCGAAUGGCAAUCAUCUAAAAAAUGGUGGAUUCAAGAUCGAAUGACUUCAUGUCUGUAUUGGAAUGAACAGUCUGUGAUAUUCGAAGGAUAGACAUAACGCCAUAUGAAUUAUUUGCACCCAAAAAAGUAAACGAUGGUGCUUAUUAUUAUCAUCUCAACUAACAGUAGUUGAUCAUUCGUGUUUCAUCUGUUUCCAGUGUUUGGGCUGGCUCGAAAGACAGUCAUUUGAAGCGCUUCAUGCGUUUGCGAGAUAAGUUUUUUCAUUGUUUCUGUGCAGUCGCAAAAAGUCAGUUCGCGACAUCAAAACGUGAAAAUACUGCUGCUUGUCAUCUUCAAGACUAACGUACCCUAGAAAAAUUGCUUUGGAGCUGAUUUCCUGGUAUUGGGAGAGAAACUAGCGUCCGGAUCAAAGGAUUUAUUUGCAUAUUUUCGAGCAAUGCCACUGACAUGGUGUCUUUCAACAUACAGGGAAUAGCCGUUAUUUAGUGCAAAUAACUGGUCAAAGCCAUAGUAUGCAAGGCAAAAAGGGAGUACUGGAAAGGGAGUGAAGUAUACAAUAGGAUGGAUGCCAAAUAGCUGUCAAUUGAUGACUAUGUUGAUCGAAACUAUUAUUCUGGUGAAAUGGUGGCACUAACGAUUCAAUAUCGUACGGGAAUCACAGCCCUAGGAACCACGAGUCCCGAGAGAUUGUAGUUACAGGUAUUCCUAUCCCAAGGUUUGGAAAAUUUCCACGCGACCGGCACUAGGUGAUGGCCAAAUCUACUGGUUUCACAUAGCCGUCUUAGUCCCUGAAUCAGAUUCGAGAGCUAGACGGAUCGCAUGAUAUGCAACAUGAGGAGCCAAUGUUCGAUCUGCUUUGGUUCUAUCCCGAUGACCAUGGCGGCUGAACUACAUUGCGCCACAAUGCUGAUUACCUUUGGAAAUGUACAAUCAAUUAAACAAUCUGACGCAGAAAACACCAGCACCGCGCAAACGUAAGAGAUUCUGUGAUGGACCAACGUUGCCGCAAGAGAACACUGGUAGCAAUAGGUUUGUUCCAGUACCAGGAGAAACUGGAAGUACUCCGGAGAAAAUCGUUCCUGUAUUAUCUUCUUUUCUUUUCCUUCUUCUGGUAGCAAAUCGGAGUGAAAAGGAGCAAGAAUUUUUUGUUCCGGAGCAACAGGGAGUGAGUUCCGUGUACUGGAACAAACCUAAUCAUUGUUAGCAGAAAGGAAACCACUCUUUUGCGCUCAAGCAAGAAACCAAGUCACCCAGCAAUUUUUAAGUUUACCGUAAAACUUGAAGGCACUGAGCUAGAUCAGCAACCUCCCGGUGCGAUUGUUAAAAGUUGAUCAACGAUCCAGUAGAAUUACGCACUAGACAAGAGAAUAUGUCCGGAAUUACAAAUUGUGACUCAUCAGAAAAAUAUCUUUAAACAAGCACUAGCUCGGAAACGGUAUCAAUCCAAACUAUGAAAAGUUUCGACUGACUCCGACGCAAAUUCCGGAAACUGCUUCGUUGAUUGCGCGAAUAUUAUAUUCUGGUACUGCUAGGUAAAUUUCACAUUGAAGAAUAAUUCCGUUGCUAGCUGCCAUGAUUCAGCAUCGAGAGAUAGAACCUAUAGUCGAGAUCGAACCAAGAGAGCAAGGCAAACCGUUGUCACUAAACGCCCUAGCACUAAACUAAAACAAGUUAUAUUACACAUAAGACAUAACUUUCUCCGCUAAAGGAAGGCAACAAAUUUUUACCGUUAAAUUUGAAUACUGCGUAAUUGUCUCCCUUCGUUUACUUUCGUAGUCACCGACGUUACGUAACAUGUUUUAACUGAAGAAUUUUUUUCGAAGACUCACGUACCGGGGGAGUAGCGAUAAAAAAAGUUGUGGUUCAGCCGGAAAUGAACUGGAUUUCUGGCUGGUCCCAGUUCGUAUUCUGGCUCCAGUAACACAACCGAUUCUAAUUAGCCACUGAAGUCGGAAUACGAACUGGAACCAGCCAGAAUUCCGGUUCAUUUCCGGCUGAGCUUAACUGGGUGCUAAAGCUGCAAGAUUGUCAUGGUGACAUUGGUAACGAAACUAUAUUAAGCAAAGUGUCAAAAGUUUGAAUUCAAUGUGAGGUUAUUUUUUAUACUACGGUAGCAUGUUACAAGCAUUUGGAUUGUGUUUUGAUGUUUUUAGAAUAUAUUAUUUUGA